rnacentral:rRNA from 1 species
UACGGAGGGAGCUAGCGUUAUUCGGAAUUACUGGGCGUAAAGCGCACGUAGGCGGCUUUGUAAGUAAGAGGUGAAAGCCUGGAGCUCAACUCCAGGAUUGCCUUUUAGACUGCAUCGCUUGAAUCAUGGAGAGGUGAGUGGAAUUCCGAGUGUAGAGGUGAAAUUCGUAGAUAUUCGGAAGAACACCAGUGGCGAAGGCGGCUCACUGGACAUGUAUUGACGCUGAGGUGCGAAAGCGUGGGGAGCAAACAGG